UCAUCCUCGAUAAUAUGAUAAACAGGCUUUCCAAUUGGAAACUAAAUUUUCUAAGUACUGCAGGAAGAAUCACUCUCAUCAAAUCUACUUUAAGUGGUCUUCCAGCACAUGCUAUGCAAUAUUUUCACUUGCCAAAAAAGACUUGUAAGGCUAUUGAUAGAGUUCAAAUGGACUUUCUAUGGGGAGCACAACCCAAAAAAAGAAGAUGCAUCUUAUAAAGUGCAUAACAUUACAAUUCCUAAGGAUAGAGGAGGAUUAAAUCUCUGUAACGCUCAUCAUAAAAACCUCUCUCUCCUUGCUAGCCUAGCCUGGAGACUGUACACUAACAGAGAUGCUCUUUGGGCCAAAACUCUUAUAAAUAAGUAUGGACUAAAGCCCAAUAGCCCUUCUAAUUCCUUUAUUUGGCAGAAUAUUUUGGCAGGCGGCAAACUCUGCUCCAAAGCAGUUGCUUGGGACCCAGGUAAGGGGAACACCAUUAGUGUAUGGGACCAUAGUUGGAUACCCACAUCACCCCACCUUAAGAAGCUUGAUUCAUGGACCACUCACAAUUGCAGAAUCCAAGCUGAAGCUAUCUCAUUUUUGGAGUGGGGAGGAGUGGAAUUGGAAUGCCCUUUCCUCUGUAAUCUCUGAGGAAUUAAUCCAUAAAGCAUCCCUAGUAUCCGUACAACUGGAUAAAUCAGAUACCUGUUUCUGGUCCUUAAAUGCCAAUGUUCUAUUUACUACCCAAAAAUCCAAUUCUUUAACUGUCUUGAAGUUGCUUAGGACAGAUAGUGAUACUACCUAGUUUUCCUUUAACUGGGUUUGGUCCUUACACACUCCUCCAAAAAUCCAAUUCUUUCUUUGGCUUUGAUCUCAUAAUAGGCUUCCCACAAAAUCAUAUUUACAUCAUCUUGGAAUCACUAUUGAUGUUUUUUGUGAGGUUGCUUAUGAGGAGAUUGGGGAAUCCAGUGGUACGACAUAACUUCCGGGAAGGAAACAAGUUAGCAGAUGGACUAGCCAAGCAUGGAGCAAGGAAGAAAGAGUUUGAAGGAGUCUCACUUUUUGUUAUCCCCCCUACUAAUAUAUCUAACCUUUUGGAUGCUGAUAAUAGAAGCAUAAUAUGUACUAAACUAGUAACGCAGUCUGUAUGUAAUAGUCUAGCUAUGUUAGGUAACUGUUGCGUCCUCACAGAUAGUGAGUAUGCAGAAAAUGAGUACGGCGGUACUACUGAUGUAAUUCUCUAAUAUUUAAGCAAUAUAUCGUUUUAACCAAAAAACAAUAUAUAUAAA